rnacentral:rRNA from 1 species
CUACGGGUUGCAGCAGUGAGGAAUAUUGCACAAUGGGGGGAACCCUGAUGCAGCAACGCCGCGUGGAGGAUGACGCAUUCCGGUGUGUAAACUCCUUUUAUCAGAGAAGAACAUGACGGUAUCUGAUGAAUAAGCUCCGGCUAACUCCGUGCCAGCAGCCGCGGUAAUACGGAGGGAGCAAGCGUUAUUCGGAAUCACUGGGCGUAAAGGACGCGUAGGUGGGACAGUAAGUCAGGUGUGAAAUCCAAUGGCUCAACCAUUGAACUGCACUUGAAACUGCUGACCUAGAGUACUGAAGGGGCAGAUGGAAUUAGUGGUGUAGGGGUAAUAUCCGUAGAUAUCACUAGGAAUACCGAAAGCGAAGGCGAUCUGCUGGGAAGUUACUGACGCUGAGGCGUGAAAGCGUGGGGAGCAAACAGGAUUAGAUACCCCAGUAGUC